rnacentral:tRNA from 4 species
GCGGGUGUAGUUCAAUGGCUAGAAUCUCAGCCUUCCAAGCUGAUUAUGCGGGUUCGAUUCCCGUCACCCGCUCCA